ensembl:lncRNA
GUCUAUAAUGAUUAUUUUUAGAUAACAAAAUGUGGUUGGCAUGAGUUGCAUGGUAACGUAUAGCACCGAGGUAGAGACAGUUUCAGGUUGGAUAUCCAACGAAUAUUCACCUGUAGUUUUCCUUACAUCCACCAACAGCAGUUACGAACCGUCAACAGAGUGACAAAUCAAAUGUUCAAAUUUCAAUAGCUCUUUAACCAUUACUUCCUAAAACUUUCAAAACUGGUUGUAGCUAACCCGAUGGCAUAGACACACAUUGCACCCACUUUUUUUUGCCGAUUUACAUCUCGCACUAUUUAAAAUUAUUUAUUAACAUUUUUGAAUAUCAAUAGCUCAUUGGUCAUAUGACCUUUUGACUUCAAACAAGGUGCAACAUGUACACUGACUACCCUUCUAUAUUGCACACUUGUUUGUGUACUGUAAAAUCACGCGGUGUAACAUACAUUUUUCAUAGUUUUAAAUUUCAAUAGCUCCCUUGGUUAUGUCAAUUACACACAUACAGUAAGAAAUUGCAAAACCUCUAGUCAUUUAUAUUCUAUAUUGUUGUACAUUAAUAUUAGUUUGACAAUUAGGGGUUUCAGUCCAGUGUUGUGUUUACCCUUUUCUUUAAUAUUUAUCUAUAAUAAUUGGUAGUUCUAAGUACUUAUUUUUGCUGUUUUCUAUUUUUCCACAGUAUUUAACAGCAGUACACAAAAGGAGAUAGACAGAUAAUAUCUCCUUUCAUUGUUAAUAUCAACCAUAAAGGAAAAGGGCAAAGUACGAGAGUCAUGUUAUUAAUUGUCCAAAGGCGGGAUGGAGAGUGAGCUGAUGAGGUGGGCUACAGUGGGUUUACUGGUCAAUACAUAUACUGAACAGGGAUGAAGAAUGAGCUAGUGAGGUGGGCUGCAGUGGGUUUGCUGGUCAAUACAUAUACUGAACAGGGAUGGAGAAUGAGCUAGUGAGGUGGGCUGCAGUGGGUUUGCUGGUCAAUACAUAUACUGAACAGGGAUGGAGAAUGAGCUGGUGAGGUGGGCUGCAGUGGGUUUGCUGGUCAAUACAUAUACU